rnacentral:tRNA from 1 species
GGGAAUGUGACUUAGUGGUAGAGUAUUUGCCUAGUAUGCAUGAAGCCCUGGGUUCGAUUCCUCAGUACCA